GGGGGUUUAGCCUAGUGUCACGGUGCCUGCCUUGCAAAGCACAAGGUCCUGAGUUUGAUCCUCAGUACCCCCC
rnacentral:tRNA from 1 species